rnacentral:misc_RNA from 1 species
GAUGAAGAACGCAGCGAAAUGCGAUAAGUAAUGCGAAUUGCAGAAUUCAGUGAAUCAUCGAAUCUUUGAACGCACAUUGCGCCCGCCAGUAUUCUGGCGGGCAUGCCUGUUCGAGCGUCAUUACAACCCUCAGGCCCCCGGGCCUGGUGUUGGGGAUCGGCGGAGCCCCCCGUGGGCACACGCCGUCCCCCAAAUACAGUGGCGGUCCCGCCGCAGCUUCCAUCGCGUAGUAGCUAACACCUCGCGACUGGAGAGCGGCGCGGCCACGCCGUAAAACACCCAACUCUUCUGAAGUUGACCUCGAAUCAGGUAGGAAUACCCGCUGAACUUAAGCAUAUCAAUAAGCGGAGGA